GCGGGUGUGGCGGAAUUGGCAGACGCACCAGAUUUAGGUUCUGGCGGGAGACCGUGGGGGUUCGAGUCCCUUCACCCGCACCA
rnacentral:tRNA from 3 species